rnacentral:rRNA from 1 species
GAUGAACGCUGGCGGCGUGCUUAACACAUGCAAGUCGAGCGAAGCACUUAUGGUGAUCCUUCGGGUGAUUCAUUUGUGACUGAGCGGCGGACGGGUGAGUAACGCGUGAGUAACCUGCCUCAUACAGGGGAAUAACAGUUAGAAAUGACUGCUAAUGCCGCAUAAGCGCACAGGGCCGCAUGGCCCGGUGUGAAAAACUCCGGUGGUAUGAGAUGGACUCGCGUCUGAUUAGCUAGUUGGCAGGGUAACGGCCUACCAAGGCGACGAUCAGUAGCCGGCCUGAGAGGGUGAACGGCCACAUUGGGACUGAGACACGGCCCAAACUCCUACGGGAGGCAGCAGUGGGGAAUAUUGCACAAUGGGGGAAACCCUGAUGCAGCGACGCCGCGUGAGUGAAGAAGUAUUUCGGUAUGUAAAGCUCUAUCAGCAGGGAAGAAAAUGACGGUACCUGACUAAGAAGCC